rnacentral:rRNA from 1 species
UACGGAGGGAGCUAGCGUUGUUCGGAAUUACUGGGCGUAAAGCGCGCGUAGGCGGUUACUCAAGUCAGAGGUGAAAGCCUGGGGCUCAACCCCGGAACUGCCUUUGAAACUAGGUAACUAGAAUCUUGGAGAGGUCAGUGGAAUUCCGAGUGUAGAGGUGAAAUUCGUAGAUAUUCGGAAGAACACCAGUGGCGAAGGCGACUGACUGGACAAGUAUUGACGCUGAGGUGCGAAAGCGUGGGGAGCAAACAGG